GGCAGAGCUUGAGGGAGGGGGAGUGGCCUACGAGUGGAGGGGGCGGGGUUUGAGUGAGGGGCGUGGCCUGAAAGCGAGGGGCGGGGCUUGAGAGUGGGGCGGGGCUUGAGAGAAGGGGUGUGGCCUAUGAGUGGGUUAGGGUUAAAGGUUAAGGGUUAAGGUUAUGGGGUUGGGUUGGGGUUAAAGGUUAUGGGGUUGGGUUGGGGUUAAAGGUUAAGGGUUAGGGUUAUGGGGUUGGGUUAGGGUUAAAGAUUAUGGGGUUGGGUUGGCGUAAAAGGAUUUGGGUUAGGGUUAUGGGGUUGGGUUAGGGUUAAAGGUUAUGGGUUAAGGUUAUGGGGUUGGGUUCGAGUUAAGGUUUAUGGGGUUGGUUUGGGGUUAAAGGUUAUGGGUUAAGGUUAUGGGCUUGGGUUGGGGUUAAAGGUUAUGGGUUAGGGUUAGAGGUGAUGGGAUAGGGUUAUGGGGUUGGGUUGGAGUUAAAGGUUAUGGGUUAGGGUUAUGGGGUUGGGUUUGGGUUAAGGGUUAUGGGGUUGGGUUGGGGUUAAAGGUUAAGGGUUAACGUUAUUGGGUUGGGUUGGGGUUAAAGGUUAUGGGAUAGGGUUAGAGGUGAUGGGAUAGGGUUAUGGGGUUGGGUUAGGGUUAAAGGUUAUGGGUUAGGGUUAUGGGGUUGGGUUUGGGUUAAGGGUUAUGGGGUUGGGUUGGGGUUAAGGGUUAUGGGUUAGGGUUAUGGGGUUGGGUUCGGGUUAAGGGUUAUGGGGUUGGGUUGGGGUUAAAGAUUAUGGGGUUGGGUUGGGGUAAAAGGAUUUGGGUUAGGGUUAUGGGGUUGGGUUAGGGUUAAAGGUUAUGGGUUAAUGUUAUGGGGUUCGGUUCGAGUUAAGGUUUAUGGGGUUCGGUUUGGGUUAAGGGUAAUGGGGUUGGGUUGCGGUUAAAGGUUAUGGGAUAGGGUUAUGGGGAUUAAAGGCUAAGGGUUAAGGGUUAUAGUUACGGGGCGGGUGUUAACGGUCAAAGGUUAUGGGGUUGGGGUUAAAGGUUAUGGGUUAGGGUUAAAGGUUAUGGGUUUGGUUUAUGGGUUACGGGGUUGCGUUGGGGUUAAAGGUGAAGGGUUAAAGAUAUGGGCUGGGUUAAAGGUUAAGGAUUAAAGGUUAAGGGUUACGAUUACGGGGCGGGGGUUAAAGGUCAAAGGUUAUGGGGUUAUGGGGUUGGGGUCUGGAGGGGACGGAGCUCAAUGGGGCGGGGAAGAGGUGGGCGGGGCCACAGCGCCCUCCUAAAUGAAUUGCCAGGUUUUAACGAAUGCAUUAAUGAAUAAACGGGUUCACCCAGCUGUUGAGUCGUUAAUCGGUUACUAAUGAGGGGGCGGGGCUUCAAAAUGGGGCGGGGUUUGUGGGCUGGGAUGGGGGGGUGGGGUUGCAGCCC
rnacentral:lncRNA from 1 species